GUGCUAUACUUUAAAAUGUUGUGCAAACGACCCUUGACGCUUAUUUCCCUUUCGUCAAGCAUAUUAAAGACGUGGAGUGUAAAACUCUGACGUUAAAGGAGAAAGUUAU
rnacentral:ncRNA from 1 species